UUGUUGAAUAAAAAAUAUUGCAUGGAUAUCCCAGAAUUUUCUAUCCAUUUACUGGUUGGUAAAAAUUGGAGUUGUUUCCAAAUAUAGUUGAUAUGAAUAUGUAUGUAUAAGUCUUUGAAUAGACAUAUAUUUUCAUUUAUCUUAGGUAAAUGUAUAGGAGUGGAGUGGCUAGAACCUAUAAUAGCUACAUGUUUAACUUUUUAAGAUACCAACAAACUGUUGCUGGAAGUGGUUCUACCAUUUUACAUUACCUGUCAGAAUUGUAAAAGUUUCAGUCUCUCCACAUCCUUGUUAACGCUUAUUAUGAUAAGCCUUUUUCACUUUAAGCACUACUGUGAUGUCUAGUGGUAUAUCAUUGUGGUUUCAAUUUUACAUUUCUUUGAUGAAAAAAAUUUGAACGUAUUUUUAUGUGUUAAUAUAUUAUGCAUAUCUUUUAUUUUUGGAAGUAUAUGUUCAAAUUGUUUGCCCAAAUUGUUAUGGGGUUGCCUGUUUUCUUAGUAGUGAAUUUUGACAGUGUUUUAAGUAUUCUGGAUAUGAAUCUCUUAUCAAAUAUAUAAUUUGCAAUUAUUUUCUCUUAAUCUGUAGAUUUUUUUCAUUCCUAUCAGUGUCUUUCAAAAAGCAAAAAUGUUGGCCGGGCACGGUGGCUCAUGCCUGUAAUUCCAGCACUUUGAGAGGCCGAGGUGGGCAGAUCACGAGGUCAGGAGAUGGAGACCAUCCUGGCCAACAUGGUGAAACCCUAUCUCUACUAAAAAUACAAAAAUUAGCUGGGCGUGGUGGUGCAUGCCUGUAAUCCCAGCUACUCAGGAGGCUGAGGCAGGAGAAUUUCUUGAACCAGGUAGUCGGAGGUUUCAGCAAGCCGAGAUCACACCACUGCACUCCAGCCUGGCGACAGAGUGAGACUCUAUCUCCCAUGUGCAUGAGAAGCUGUUAUGUAAUAUCUGUAACUGGUUUGAAAAUCACUUGCCCAUUCAAUUCAGUUUGGCCUUACAAGCCAUGAGAUCAAAGUUGCUCAGAGAGGUAGAUCAGUAGCCCUUUCUCAAGGAAGGGCCUGUAUUAUGGUUUCAGUGAGCUCUGUCUGAACAUGAUGUGAUCCAGUGGCUACAGGUUUGAACAACAGAGUCUUCCCCUAUCUCCUGCAAUAAAGUACAUGACAAAGAGAAGCUGAGCUAAAAUUGUUGAGGUUUAGCAUAUAUGACAAAAAAAGAAAUCAAUAGAAAUCUGAUCAUAAGGUAAAGUUUGGGAUGAAGACAGGUGGUUGGUGAAUAUAUAGAACAGCAACUACUUUGGGUACUCUGGGUGCCAGGUCAAUGCCAAACUCUACCUAUUGGUCUGAAUAAAUAUUUGUCCAUACUCGCAGGCUUGGUCAGGAUUUGUGUAGAAAGUGCACAGCAGGACUGAGCCUAUGCAUUCAAAGUCUUGAGUACCCCUACAAAGGAAGAGGACACAAACGAAAAAUGUUCCCUCAUACCAAGGAUUGUCCUGAAAUCCAAGACUAUAUUUUAUGAGAAGACAUACAUCAGAGAGAGAGAAAUUACAGUAUGCAAUCUCUCAGCUGCCAACAGAACACAGAUGGGCUUGGGAACACAGAAUGAUCCAGAUCUGCAGGACUGGAGCAAUCCGUGGGAAGUUUGGACAGAAGAUCUGAUGCAUCAGACAGUAAAGGACUAUUGAAUGUUCCAUGAUAGAUGUGCUUGUUCUUUUGCCUGCAUGCCCUUGAAUAAAGACAUUUUGAUCUCCAGGGCCAACCUGAGAAACAUAUAAUUUAAUCUAGUUUUGAAAGAAGAGCCCUGCUACACAAACACUAGCUCACAAUAUUAAAAGAUAUCAACUGAAAUAUCGAAGGGCUUUCAUAUUUCAGUAAAUUGACUAUCCUAUGUGUUUGAUAUUUCCAUUUAAUUGAAUAUUUCUUAACUCAGUGAAAAGUGUAUGAGCCUGCUAUGAUAAAUUCAGUGUUGCAUAUGGGAAUUUCAAGUAUCUUUUAUUGAAUCUUAUAUGAUAAAGUCAGUGUUGCAUAUGGGAAUUUCAAGUAUCUUUUAUUGAAUCUUAUUUCUUGAUCUCUCUCCUUUUAGAAGAGAGAUACAAAAAGACCGUUAGCCUGCUUGCUUCUGUUUUUUUCUGCCCCAUCUCCACCCUUAUUCCCGAACUGUGGUUCACACAUUUAUUUCCAUUUUUAAAAAUUUUCUCUUCCUGCUGCCAUUCUCUUAUUACGCAUUUUUUAAAUACCCAGUCCACUUUCUUUACUUUUCUUUAAUGUCUGCCUCAGAGCUCAGCUUUUUUAGUUAAUUGACGAUAUCACUAGCCUUUAGUUCUGAGAGACUGAAUACACAGUCACACCACACAUAGAAAUACAAUUCUAACCCACAAACUUCAAUAACCAGAGCAAGACCACAGCCUCCACGACAAUUAGCCCAAAAUGGUCAGGACCUGAUCAAUAAUGGACAACUUUCACAAUUUUUAGCUGCCUUCCCCCACUUCCAACUUUAGACCAACUGGAGAAAGACAAAUAUGCUGCCUAAUCACCCUCAUAGGAUAGUUUUCUUUCAGUUAUCGGGCUUCCGACUCCCCCAUACCAAUAGCCUUCAAUCAAGCAGACCCGAAGUCUUCCCUUUUUUCCAUUCUAAAGCUUUCCUUCUCCUCUGCCUUCCUUUGAGUCUCUGCCAAACAUAAAUAACAGCGGUUGACUUCCUUACUAUGCUAGCUCUGAAUAAAUAUCCUUUUCUUGUUCGCAUCUGGGUGCACUUCAUUUGUUUCCAUAGUUCUUUCAUUCUGUGAACUAUCUAAUUAAAAACUUUUUAAAAUAAAUACCAUGGUCUUGGCUUUUCUGCAAUCAUCACCCCUCUCUAGCUUCUUCCUUCAAUUCCACACCUUAUCCAGAUGCAAGCUAGCUUUUAGGAAGUUUUAGGAGGUACUUUUUUUCACUAUGUAUAUUUUAUUUGACCAAAAAAUGAUAAAAUAGCAUUUAAAUCGAAUGUAUACCAACUGUGGCUCCUGAAUAAUAAAAACAUAAAUUUGUAUCCAUAAGCAUAAUAGGACAUUUAAUAAUUCUUGUUAUUCUGUAAAGUCAUUUGGUCUUGUGCCAAAUAGAAACUAUAAAAAUAUAAUGAGCUUUUUGUCAAAAACUGUUAUGUAAGGCCUUGGAAGUUUCUAGUAGUUCAGUGCUUUCUAUUCCAUUCACGUUUUUGUUGAAAUAAAAUGGAAAAGAAAAUAACCUUGUAUAUGCAUAUUAGAACUAACAGGUAAGGGUUUCCAUGGAUACUUUUAUGCAGCCAAAGAGU